rnacentral:rRNA from 1 species
GAUGAACGCUGGCGGCGUGCCUAAUACAUGCAAGUCGAGCGAACGGACGGGAAGCUUGCUUCUCUGAUGUUAGCGGCGGACGGGUGAGUAACACGUGGAUAACCUACCUAUAAGACUGGGAUAACUUCGGGAAACCGGAGCUAAUACCGGAUAAUAUUUUGAACCGCAUGGUUCAAAAGUGAAAGACGGUUUUGCUGUCACUUAUCGAUGGAUCCGCGCUGCAUUAGCUAGUUGGUAAGGUAACGGCCUACCAAGGCAACGAUGCAUAGCCGACCUGAGAGGGGGAUCAGCCACACUGGAACUGAGACAAGGUCCAGACUACUACGGGAGGCAGCAGUAGGGAAUGUUCCGCAAUGGGCGAAAGGCUGACGGAGCAACGCCACGUGAGUGAUGAAGGUCUUCGGAUCGUAAAACUAUGUUAUUAGGGAAGAACAUAUGUGUAAGGAACUGUGCACAUCUUGACGGUACCUAAUCAGAAAGCCACGGCUAACUACGUG